rnacentral:rRNA from 1 species
UACAGAGGGGGCAAGCGUUGUUCGGAAUUACUGGGCGUAAAGGGCGCGUAGGCGGCCUGCUAAGUCGAACGUGAAAUCCCUGGGCUUAACCCAGGAACUGCGUCCGAUACUGGUUGGCUUGAAUCCGGGAGAGGGAUGUGGAAUUCCAGGUGUAGCGGUGAAAUGCGUAGAUAUUGGGAGGAACACCGGUGGCGAAGGCGGCCCCCUGGGCUGGUACUGACGCUGAUGCGCGAAAGCGUGGGUAGCAAACGGG